GAGUUUUCACAAUUGGACCUUUUCAGCCCUCAAAACAAACUCAGAUUGAUGACUCUCCAUCUUUUGUGCAUAUGUGAACACUUCAACCGCACUCAGACACUUUAAAGUGAGCC